GCAGGGCUUGUGGGGGAUGGGUUGAUACCAUGUUUAUAAAGUCGAGAUGCUUGCAAACUAGAAUACAUAAAAUGUUAUGCCAUCACCUGACCAUGCUGAAUAGCAGCUACCAUCAUGUAGGCCAAACUCACUUUUUACAAUGAGAUGUAUACGUCGAAUCUAAGACUCAACAUGUUAGAUCUUCAAAAGUUUUGGUUUACUCUCUAUUGCCUUAAUUGAAUCAUACCUGUAAAGAAAAGAAAAGAAAAAUAUAUAUAUAUUUCACCACUUACCACCACUUGUCAAACUAAAAACACCGAAACCAAAA